GGAACCCAGGCCCUUCCGGUCCGGCAGCUCCUGCUGCGACUUGCAGCGUUUGGGGAAAGUUACUCACCAACUAGUCAUGCGCCUCGGAUGCCGCCGGCCACAGGGCUCCCGGAGGGGGGUCCGACACCGCCCGGUGCCCGGGAUCCCCAAUCUGGCCGGUGGAUGAGGCCCCAUCCCAUGCACCCCAGUACGGGGGACGGGGGAGUUAAUAUUAAUUCAGGAUCCCAUCCCCACCCGAGGCAGGAGGACACCCAGUGCACGCCCCAACUCCGGGACGCGCGCUCUGACCCUGGAACUUCCGAGAUUCCCGCGACGCCCCCUGUCCCUGGGUCCAGAACUUAGGGGGACACCUCUUCUGUCUCCUCCAACCCCAGAGAUGGGGUGUCACUAUGUUGCCCAGGCUGGUCUCCAGCUCCUGGACUCAAAUGAUCUGCCUGCCUCAGCCUCUCAAAGGGCUGAGAUAACAGAUGUAAGCCACUGCACCCGGCCUCCAAUGAGUUGUUAUGUGAAGAGAACAUGAUUGUAGAAGUUAGAGGACUCCAACCAGGCCUGAACUCUCAAGGACAGAAAUGGGUCCAACCUAGCAUGACAUCCUCUAAAUCUUUAGCUCCCGGCCCCUCAGGUGCCCCCUCCAGCUACCUCCCUCUUCCUUCUCUUCAUUCCCCAAGCCAUAGCUGGUUGGGCCAACCUUCAGACAUUAGCCUCUUUGCAAACUCCUAUUCAUCCCUCAAAGCCUUACCUUCAAUGCUCUCCUCCCCAAGAAGCUCUCUCCUCCCCAAGAAGCUCUCUCCUCUACCUCUAGACCUUCUCCAGCCCUCUUCCCUCUUUCUGGCCCAGCCCUGACUCCUGGGAGUGUCUGUGUGCAGCUUUGACUCCCCCAGUCUGAGUGUCCCUCAAGGGCUGAGACCAGGGCCGAUGUUUCCCUAGAGUUUGUCAUCUUCCAGCAUAGGGUGGACACAUGGGGGUCAGGCAAAGGGGAGUUUGAUGACUCAAUACUAUUGGUGAUUUUGCAUCACUUGAAGGAGACCCUGCCUUAAAUUCAGAACUUGA